rnacentral:rRNA from 1 species
UGAGGAAUAUUGGGCAAUGCCCGCAAGGGUGACCCUGCAACGCCGCGUGGAGGAUGAAUGUCGUAAGAUUGUAAACUCCUGUUAGAGGGGAAGAAUAGUACCGGUUGGACCGGUAUAUGACUGUACCCUCAGAGAAAGCCCCGGCUAACUACGUGCCAGCAGCCGCGGUAAUACGUAGGGGGCAAGCGUUGUCCGGAUUUACUGGGUGUAAAGGGCGCGCAGGCGGGAUAAAAAGUCAGUGGUGAAAUCCUACAGCUUAACUGUAGAACUGCCUUUGAUACUUUUAUUCUUGAGUUCGGGAGAGAGAGACGGAAUUCCAGGUGUAGUGGUGAAAUACGUAGAUAUCUGGAAGAACACCAGUUGCGAAGGCGGUCUCUUGGUCCGACACUGACGCUGAGGCGCGAAAGCGUGGGGAGCAAACA